ACCAGCCUAGACAACAGGACAAGACCUUGUCUCCACAAAAAAUUAUUAGGGUGAUACAAAAAGUAAUUGCAGGUUUUGCCAUUACUUUCAAUGGCAAAACCCACAAUUCCUCUUGCACCAACCUGAUAAAAAAUAAGCUGGGUAUGGUGGUGGUAUGUGCCGGUGGUCUCAGCUAUUUGGGAAGUGAAGGCAGAGGUGGGAGGAUUGCUUGAGCCCAGGAGUUCCAGACCACCCUGAGACCCUGUCUCUACGGGGAAAAAAAAAAAAAAAAAAAAAAAUUAGCUGGGCCCACGUACCUGUGGUACUAGCUACUUGGGAGGCAAAGGCAGAGGUGCCAGAAUCACUUGAGCCCAGAAGCUCAAGGCUGCAGGGCACUGUGAUUGUGCCACUGCACUCCAGCCUAAGUGAUGGAGCAUGACCCUGACUCCAGAUAAUAAUAAUAAUUACAAAAAGGAAAGACCUAGAACACCAGGUUAAAGUAUUCUAAAAUUUAGCUGACUUACUCUGCUCUCUAUAAAACAGGGUUGCCACAGAAAAUAUAGCAUGCCCAGUUAAUUUUAAAUUUCAGAUAAACAAAUACUUUUUUCAGUGUAAGUAUACCCCAUGCAAUAUUUGGGAUAUGCUUAUACUAAAACUUAUUCUUUGUUUAUCUGAAAUUGAAAUUUAACUGGGUAUUACAUAAUUAUAGCAGCCUGACCAUAAAAGAUAUGUAGGCUGAGCAAAAUUCUACUUUAAACUUCAAGCUUUAUAAUAAAUGCAUUAUUAAUCAACAACUAUUAUUUACUGAGACCUGUGUAGAUCCC
rnacentral:lncRNA from 10 species